rnacentral:rRNA from 1 species
CCUACGGGAGGCAGCAGUGGGGAAUAUUGGACAAUGGGCGAAAGCCUGAUCCAGCCAUGCCGCGUGUGUGAAGAAGGUCUUCGGAUUGUAAAGCACUUUAAGUUGGGAGGCGUUACCGACAGAAUAAGCACCGGCUAACUCUGUGCCAGCAGCCGCGGUAAUACAGAGGGUGCAAGCGUUAAUCGGAAUUACUGGGCGUAAAGCGCGCGUAGGUGGUUAGUUAAGUUGGAUGUGAAAUCCCCGGGCUCAACCUGGGAACUGCAUUCAAAACUGACUGACUAGAGUAUGGUAGAGGGUGGUGGAAUUUCCUGUGUAGCGGUGAAAUGCGUAGAUAUAGGAAGGAACACCAGUGGCGAAGGCGACCACCUGGACUGAACUGACACUGAGGUGCGAAAGCGUGGGGAGCAAACAGGAUUAGAUACCCUUGUAGUC